GCAGGCCAUUCAGAGAACCAGUUUGCACAAUGUGAACAACACCCGUGACCAAACCAUGGACAAAAGACUGCCGUGGUUACAGGAUGUGAAUAGCACCCGUGAGCCGUGACCAUACCAUCUUCUUCUCUGAACCGCCCACACCAAAGAGAGAGACAGAGGUCCCCUUCAUCUCAGCUAAGACGAGCGGCGUCAGGUUGGAAAAAUCAAGAACGACGGUGCAGCGCAGCGUGAGGAUUUCGUCGACUACCCAAAGUUCUCGGUGGUAGAUGUGGCAAUAGGUGAAGCACCCAUGGAUCCCAUCUUCUCCAGAACCAAUAGCCAGAUACCUUCACAUCACCCGUCAAUCGACAUGGAUCUUGUUGAAGACGAGAACGACAGCAGACCAGCGACGCCGCCGUGCCGCCGACCAUGCUGGGAGACGAUGGAUGGAUAAGACGGCAGAGGUAAUCAUCUUAAUACCAGUAUCUGCAAUUCUGCAUCGUUUUUCAGAUACGUUUUCCCCCGACUUUUCUCCCUCGUAAAUCACGGUGAUAGGUAAAUGAAGUAAGAAGCAUUGCAGUAGUCAACCGACUGAAACAGAACUAGCAAUUCUUUCUGGGCACCAAUAGAAGGAUAUCGAAGUGCUAUAGAGCGUGCAAUUGAAGAAGCAUCAAAACUUGGGAAACAGUUGUUUUCGAACCAGCUAUUGACUUAAUCAAUGAAAUGGCAAGUCUUUUGCCUUUGUUCCAAAAAAAAAAUAUCCGAGCAGGAGGCGUAUCAGUUCUACAACGCAUAUUUAUGGUGGCUUGGAUUCAGCAUCAAGCGGGGAAACAAAUAUGUCAAUGACUCAAAAUACAAAUCAAAGCAGCAAGUUUCGAAGUGGCUUUUUUUGGAAAAGUUUCGAAGUGGCUUAUUUAGGUCAAUAAAAUAUAUAUCGCUGGGUUGCUAAGAUAUCCACGAUAGUCGGAGAAAGUAGCACCCAGGUGAUCAAAGCUUACAUAGAUUACCAGAACAAACGUACCUUACGGAGUACACGCUUAUGUGCGUGCCCUCAUUAGCCCCCCUGAUACUACCAUUCAUCACAAUGCAGUCUCCAUUCCUUUG